rnacentral:rRNA from 1 species
UGGGGAAUCUUGCGCAAUGGGCGAAAGCCUGACGCAGCAACGCCGCGUGCGGGAUGAAGGCUCUCGGGUUGUAAACCGCUUUCAGGAGGGACGGAAAUGACGGUACCUCCAGAAGAAGCCCCGGCCAACUACGUGCCAGCAGCCGCGGUAACACGUAGGGGGCGAGCGUUGUCCGGAUUUAUUGGGCGUAAAGAGCUCGUAGGCGGUUCGGCAAGUCGGGUGUGAAAUUUCGAGGCUCAACCUCGAAACGCCACUCGAUACUGCUGUGACUGGAGUCCGGUAGAGGAGUGCGGAAUUCCUGGUGUAGCGGUGAAAUGCGCAGAUAUCAGGAGGAACACCAACGGCGAAGGCAGCACUCUGGGCCGGUACUGACGCUGAGGAGCGAAAGCGUGGGGAGCAAACAGGAUUAGAUACCCUGGUAGUCCACGCCGUAAACGCUGGGCACUAGGUGUGGGGGCGUGUCAACGCCUCCGUGCCGUAGCUAACGCAUUAAGU